GGUUGUCUGUGAUGAGACCACGGAUCUCGCGUCAGGCAUGGCGUCCGACUCUUAUGAGGAUACGUUCCAUGCUGCCUUCCUUCUGAGACUUCC
rnacentral:snoRNA from 1 species